rnacentral:rRNA from 1 species
GACGAACGCUGGCGGCGCGCCUAACACAUGCAAGUCGAGCGAUGAACAACCGACAGAAUUCUUCGGAAGGACGAUGGUUGGGAUUAGCGGCGGACGGGUGAGUAACACGUGAGUAACCUGCCUUUUACAAGGGGAUAGCCUCGGGAAACCGGGAUUAAUACCCUAUGACACUUCUACUUCGCAUGAAGAAGAAGUCAAAGUGCUUUAGCGGUAAAAGAUGGACUCGCGCCUGAUUAGUUAGUUGGUGGGGUAACGGCCUACCAAGACGACGAUCAGUAGCCGGCCUGAGAGGGUGAACGGCCACAUUGGAACUGAGACACGGUCCAAACUCCUACGGGAGGCAGCAGUGGGGAAUAUUGCACAAUGGAGGAAACUCUGAUGCAGCGACGCCGCGUGAGCGAAGAAGGCUUUCGAGUCGUAAAGCUCUGUCCUAUGGGAAGAUAGUGACGGUACCAUAGGAGGAAGCCCCGGCUAACUACGUGCCAGCCGCCGCCGUAAAAC